rnacentral:rRNA from 1 species
AAACUUAAAGGAAUUGACGGGGACCCGCACAAGCGGUGGAGCAUGUGGUUUAAUUCGACGAUACACGAAGAACCUUACCUGGACUUGACAUAGUAAGAACUUUCUAGAGAUAGAUUGGUGUCUGCUUGCAGAAACUUAUAUACAGGUGCUGCACGGCUGUCGUCAGCUCGUGUCGUGAGAUGUUGGGUUAAGUCCCGCAACGAGCGCAACCCUCGUCAUUAGUUGCUAACAGUUCGGCUGAGAACUCUAAUGAGACUGCCUACGCAAGUAGGAGGAAGGUGAGGACGACGUCAAGUCAUCAUGGCCCUUACGUCCAGGGCUACACACGUGCUACAAUGGGGUAUACAAAGAGCAGCAAUACAGUGAUGUGGAGCAAAUCUCAAAAAUAUCUCCCAGUUCGGAUUGUAGUCUGCAACUCGACUACAUGAAGUUGGAAUCGCUAGUAAUCGUAGAUCAGCUAUGCUACGGUGAAUACGUUCCCGGGUCUUGUACUCACCGCCCGUCACACCAUGGGAGUUGAACUCAUUCGAAGCGGGGAUGCUAAAGUAGCUACCUUCCACAGUGGAUUCAGCGACUGGGGUGAAGUCGUAACAAGGUAACCGUAGGAGAACCUGCGGUUGGAUCACCUCCUUUCUG